rnacentral:rRNA from 1 species
UACGAAGGGGGCUAGCGUUGCUCGGAAUCACUGGGCGUAAAGCGCACGUAGGCGGAUUGCUAAGUCAGGGGUGAAAUCCUGGAGCUCAACUCCAGAACUGCCUUUGAUACUGGCGAUCUCGAGUCCGGGAGAGGUGAGUGGAACUGCGAGUGUAGAGGUGAAAUGCGUAGAUAUCUGGAGGAACACCGGUGGCGAAGGCGGCGUCCUGGACCAACACUGACACUGAUGAGCGAAGGCCAGGGGAGCAAACGGG